UCAGUUGCUUACCAUCUGCUGACUGAUGCCCACCUGGUUCCCAAGUAGUGGGCCACCACUCCCCAGCCCCUACACAAUUUCUUUUAUUCAGCAUGACUAUGGAAUAUCCCUUUGGCCAGUUUGGUUCAACCAUCCUGGCUCCGUGUGUACUCACAGCCUCCUCACUGGUCAGGCAGCACAGGAAGGGAAAAGGUCUUUGACUUAAUGCUACUCAGCAAUAGCUAAAAAAUCAGUGUGUUAUUAACAUUAUUCUCAUGCUAAAGCAAAACACAGCACUCAGCCAGUUACUAGAAAAAAAAAAACCUCUAUUCCAGAUGAAACCAACACAAUAGGAUCAAUUCUAAACUAGGAAGUUUAGUUGUUUGCUUGUUAUGUUAAUCUCAGUGAUAAAAGUUACCUCCUUAUAUAAGGGACCUGGCAGACCAUAAGAGAUUGGGGAUGUGGUGUGAGGAGGUGGGGAAAAGUCAAAGGAAAAAAACAUUGGACUUUUAUGUUUGGGAGAGAACUGUGAAAUUUUCAAGUUUCAAACCAAAGAUUAGCCUUGAACAUCCUAGCCUGCAUAUAUUUUGCAUGGAGUUCUUAGAAUUAACAGGAAACAUUAAAAUGAUGGUACAUGUUAUUGUGGACAAAUCUAUCUAUCAUUAUUUUAAAGCAAUAAUAAAAUAGAUGACUGAUGAACAGAGCAUCAGAGGGUAUUUUGAUAACAGGUCAAAAUAAGUCAAAUUUUUCCUCACUGAAAAAUACUAAGAAAUCCAAGUCAUACAAAUAAUUUUCAUUACAGUUCACUCAAAGUUCACAGUGAUCCUUGUUCAGCAAUGCAGAUAUGACUCCAAUAAUUUCCAAUGAAAAUGGAAGAACUACAUUUCUCUGUUAUCUAUUAUUGAAGAAGAGGAUGUGCUAUCAGAUCUGAUGGCAUCAGAAAAGACACAGGAAAAUUCCAGAAAAUAUACUGUUGAUCCAAUUACCUUUGAAAUGCUUCUAUUAAUUUAAACAGAAACUGGGUCAGAUAAUUUGUGAAGAGAAUUAUACAGCUUAAGAUAGGAGUCUGUUCCUCCUGCAUGGCAUUUCACCAAAUUGAAAAUUAUUGUGCAAGACAGGGAUCAGAAAGAGAACCUGUUCUUCAGAACAGUCCAGAGUUCAGCCUGAGUAUCACAAACCCAAAUGCCAUUUUACUUAACAUAAUGUCUGUGUGAACACAGACUAGAGCAAAAAGACCCAGCUACUGCUAUCCCUCACUGAGUUGCUGCUUCUUCUAAACUUUGUAAAAACUAUGAGACCA